ACCAUGAAGGUGUCCGCCGAUACGGGCGGGUGAAAAGGGAAUCCGGUGCGAAUCCGGAGCGAUGCCGUCACUGUGUACGGGAGCCGCAGCUCAUGAUCACUGGGAAACCGGGAAGAGAGCCGGGGCGAUGAACGAAGCCAGGAGACCUGCCCUCA
rnacentral:ncRNA from 1 species